rnacentral:lncRNA from 1 species
GUUAUAACAUGCCUAAUGUGGAGUUUUAAAGAAGGGUUUCCAGGCACUUUCUGCUGGCUGUUUCAGAGAUAUUCUCAACGAGAUGAAUGACCUGAUCAAGGACAUUACAGAGGAGCACGAUCCGACUCUAGACAUGUCAGACACCCUCCACACAUCUGGGAGCCUUGGAGUGGAAUUUGAUGAGGAUGAGCUACUGGCAGAGCUGGAGAGGCUGGUGAAGAAUCUGGAUCUUAGUCUCUUUGAGAAGGACAAACCAGAAGAGAGAGUGCCUUUUUUCAAAGUGUUGUCCCCUGCAUCACCUUCCCAACCUGCCAAGACGGACGAAGAUGAGAUUGAAGAUGAUUUAGAGUAUCUGCAGCGCUGGGCGAAUUAACCCCCUCAUAGACACACCAUCAGCCACAACACACAGGCAUUAAAAGAGGAAAGGAUGGAAUAAAUAAGCAGAAAUUAUA